rnacentral:rRNA from 1 species
AUUGAACGCUGGCGGCAGGCUUAACACAUGCAAGUCGAGCGAGCGGCGGACGGGUGAGUAAUGUCUGGGAAACUGCCUGAUGGAGGGGGAUAACUACUGGAAACGGUAGCUAAUACCGCAUACCAUCAGAUGUGCCCAGAUGGGAUUAGCUAGUAGGUGGGGUAAGGGCUCACCUAGGCGACGAUCCCUAGCUGGUCUGAGAGGAUGACCAGCAACACGGGACAGGAGACAAGGUCCAGAUGCCGACGGGAGGCAGAAGUGGGGAAUAUUUCACAAUGGGCGCAAGCCUGAUGCAGCCAUGCCGCGUGUGUGAAGAAGGCCUUCGGGUUGUAAAGCACUUUCAGCGAGGAGGCGUUACUCGCAGAAGAAGCACCGGCGAACUCCGUGCCAGCAGCCGCGGUAAUAC